AUUGAACGCUGGCGGCAGGCCUAACACAUGCAUGUCGAGCGGCAGCGGGAAAGUAGCUUGCUACUUUUGCCGGCGAGCGGCGGACGGGCGAGGAAUGCCUGGGAAAUUGCCCAGUCGAGGGGGAUAACAGUUGGAAACGACUGCUAAUACCGCAUACGCCCUACGGGGGAAAGCAGGGGACUUUCGGGCCUUGCGCGCUUGGAUAUGCCCAGGGAGGAUUAGCUAGUUGGUGAGGUAAUGGCUCACCAAGGCGACGAUCCCUAGCUGGUCUGAUAGGAUGAUCAGCCACACUGGAACUGAGACACGGUCCAGACUCCUACGGGAGGCAGCAGUGGGGAAUAUUGCACAAUGGGGGAAACCCUGAUGCAGCCAUGCCGCGUGUGUGAAGAAGGCCUUCGGGUUGUAAAGCACUUUCAGCGAGGAGGAAAGGUUGAUGCCUAAUACGUAUCAACUGUGACGUUACGCGCAGAAGAAGCACCGGCUAACUCCGUGCCAGCAGCCGCAGUAAGAC
rnacentral:rRNA from 1 species